GGAUUACCCUUAAAAUAAAAAAAAAAAGGACUAUGUGUUGAAAUAAGACUGGUAAAAUGAUACCUGCAGACUUAGCAGUGAUAAAUAAGAUGGCAAGAAUUAGGGCCCACAACUUCAAAAACAACUUUGAGUGGCAGAAAGCAUCUUCCCCACAUGCCUUAUUGAAUUUGAAUUUGCUAAUCAGCUCAAUUACCUUUAUGAAGUCAGUUAAGGCAGAUUCUCUGGCUAAUGGUGAUGGUAACAAUGAGGUCUCCAUAUGUCAGCCGGAACUGUCUCACUGGAUUUGUCGGGCACAUGGCAACAUCUGCCUCCAUUCUCCUCCAGGUGGACAGACUCCAUUCUCCCUCCAAGGUGGAUUUGAUGGUCGUAGCCCCAGCAGCCACCAUGGACCUGGCAGUAACCCUGAAGAUGGAAACCAAGUACUGGGAUGAUGGAAAAGAGAGUGAUGACUUCGUGGAAAUACCGUAUCAUCUUUGGGCUGCCUCAUCCAGAAUUUUCUAUAGUGGAAUAGAUCAUCAUGGGUUUAAGUCACUAUUAUUUGGGUUUUCUAAUAUAUAUAGCUAAUGCUAACCAUAACAGAAGAUAAAAGGAGCCUUCUUAGAUAAGGAUAUGUCCUGCUUUGGACACAGAGUUUCCAAGAAACAGAAGAUUCCCAAAAUUCCUAGCCAAUUGACAAGGUGAAAAUGAAAUAGACAGUUAAUAGCUUUCUCAUCUCAGUUACUUGGAACUGGCCCAAAUCAAGGUAUCACUAUUUAACAGGUGGCAGCCUACCAGUGCUAGUACCAGCAAAGGUGACAUAGCAUCCUAGAAGAGUUAAAGCAGUUCAGUUUUAAAUGUUACCUUUCCAGCUUCUUCUACUAACCACAUUUCACAUGGUCAUUCACUAAUUAGACUCAAAGGAAACCAGCAGCUGCCUCAUCAGAAGCUAAUCAAUAUAGUGCCAUUGUUCCACUGAUUCUGGACUGGUUUGUUGAUCCAUAGACCAGGUGAGUCUGAAGCAGAGGCGGUUCCUGCCACCUCAUAUGAAAAAGUUACAAACCGACUUAAUGAGAGCUCCUGUCUCCAGUUGUAGGCGCUGGCUGGAGAAAACAAGCUUAAUUUCUGAGGAGGGCAACAGCCACCCAGUGAGAAUGUAGGUGGUGAGAAGUUGCCGGGGCUCAGCCCUACAGGGGAGGGAACCCUGGCCUGAAGGCAGGGUUUUCAUGAUGCAGGUCUUCACUGAGUGCUGUCCUUCCACUCAGAGGUCUCCAGACAGCUGGUUUUGUUUUGACUUGGGCCUUCUGCGGUGGGUGAUUUUAUGUGUCAACUUGGCUGGUCCGUGAUGCCCAGAUAUUUGGGCAAACAUCCAUCUGGAUGUUGCUUUUGUAUUCUUUUAGAUUAGAUUGACAUUUCAAUCAGCAGACUUUGAGAAAAGCAGACACCCACCAUCAUGUGGGUGGGUCUCAUCCAAUCAGAUGAAAGCCUUAAAGGAAAAGCCUGGGAUCCCCUGAAGAGGUAGGAAUUCUGCCUCCAGGCUGACUUUGGACUCAAGACUGCAACAUAGUCUGCUUAUGCUGGAAUUUCCAGUCUCCACCCCACCCUACAGUUUAUGAACUUACCAGGCCCCAUAAGCAUGUGAGCCAAUUCUUUAAAAUAAAUCUCUCUAUAUAUACA
rnacentral:lncRNA from 13 species